rnacentral:rRNA from 1 species
AACGAACGCUGGCGGCAGGCUUAACACAUGCAAGUCGAGCGCCCCGCAAGGGGAGCGGCAGACGGGUGAGUAACGCGUGGGAAUCUACCGUACCCUACGGAAUAGCUCCGGGAAACUGGAAUUAAUACCGUAUACGCCCUUCGGGGAAAGAUUUAUCGGGGUAUGAUGAGCCCGCGUUGGAUUAGCUAGUUGGUGGGGUA